AGAGUUUGAUCCUGGCUCAGGACGAACGCUGGCGGCGUGCCUAACACAUGCAAGUCGAGCGGUUCAAACAGCAAUGUUUGGAUAGCGGCGGACGGGUGAGUAACGCGUGGGCAACCUGCCUUUCACAGGGGGAUAACACAGGGAAACUUGUGCUAAUACCGCAUAACAUCACGAAAGGACAUCCUUUUGUGAUCAAAGGA
rnacentral:rRNA from 1 species